AUUGAACGCUGGCGGCAUGCUUUACACAUGCAAGUCGAACGGUAACAGGCCGCAAGGUGCUGACGAGUGGCGAAUGGGUGAGUAAUGCAUCGGAACGUGCCCAGUCGUGGGGGAUAACGCAGCGAAAGCUGCGCUAAUACCGCAUACGACCUAUGGAUGCAAGCGGGGGACCGUAAGGCCUCGCGCGAUUGGAGCGGCCGAUGUCGGAUUAGGUAGUUGGUUGGGUAAAGGCUCACCAAGCCAACGAUCUGUAGCUGGUCUGAGAGGACGACCAGCCACACUGGGACUGAGACACGGCCCAGACUCCUACGGGAGGCAGCAGUGGGGAAUUUUGGACAAUGUGCGCAAGCCUGAUCCAGCAAUGCCGCGUGCAGGAAGAAGGCCUUCGGGUUGUAAACUGCUUUUGUACGGAACGAAACGGUCCUGGUUAAUACCCGGGGCUAAUGACGGUACCGUAAGAAUAAGCACCGGCUAACUACGUGCCAGCCGCCGCCGUAACAC
rnacentral:rRNA from 1 species